AAACCAUGAUGAGGACAAAGGCGUUGUAGAUCCUUGAAUAUUUCCCAUGCCUCAUACAAUAAAUCACCAGGAUCUUGGGCAAAAUUCACUAUCGCAUGACGCAU
rfam:Beta vulgaris subsp. vulgaris Bvchr2.sca007.con0093.1, whole genome shotgun sequence.